rnacentral:rRNA from 1 species
CUCCGGUGGAUCCCGCGGGACCCGACUGCUAUCGGAUUGAGAUUUAGCCAUGCGAGUCGAACGUCCCCCUGUUGCGGGGGGCGUGGCGUACGGCUCAGUAACACGUAGUCAACCUGCCCUGGAGACAAGGACAACCCCGGGAAACUGGGAUUAAUCCUUGAUAGGUCAUCUCAUCUGGAAGGAGAGAUGGCUUAAAGGGGUACGCGGGCUUCUUCCGCGAAUCUGCUCCAGGAUGGGACUGCGUCCGAUCAGGCUGUUGGCGGGGUAAUGGCCCACCAAACCUGUAACCGGUACGGGCCUUGAGAGAGGUGGCCCGGAGAUGGACACUGAGAGAAGGGUCCAGGUCCUACGGGGCGCAGCAGGCGCGAAACCUUCGCAAUGCGCGAAAGCGUGACGAGGUUAAUCCGAGUGACUCCCGCUGAGGGGGUCUUUUGUCAGCUGUAAAUAGGCAGGCGAAUAAGGGGAGGGCAAGCCUGGUGUCAGCCGCCGCGGUAAUACCAGCUCCUCGAGUGGUCGGGGCGAUUAUUGGGCCUAAAGCAUCCGUAGCCGGUUCCGUAGGUCCUCUGUUAAAUCCAACCGCUUAACGGUUGACCUGCAGAGGAUACCGCGGGACUAGGAGGCGGGAGAGGCGGACGGUACUCCGCGUGUAGGGGUAAAAUCCUUUGAUCCGCGGAAGACCACCAGUGGCGAAGGCGGUCCGCCAGAACGCGCUCGACGGUGAGGGAUGAAAGCUGGGGGAGCGAACCGGAUUAGAUACCCGGGUAGUCCCAGCCGUAAACGAUGCUAGCUAGAUGAUUCAUUCGCAAGUCGCGAAUGAAGUGUCGCAGGGAAGCCGUUAAGCUAGCCGCCUGGGGAGUACGGUCGCAAGACUGAAACUUAAAGGAAUUGGCGGGGGAGCA